CCUACGGGAGGCAGCAGUGAGGAAUAUUGGUCAAUGGACGAGAGUCUGAACCAGCCAAUUAGCGUGAAGGAUGACUGCCCUAUGGGUGGUAAACUUCUUUUAUAUGGGAAUAAAAUGUUCCACGUUUGGGAUUUUGUAUGUACCAUAUGAAUAAGAAUCGGCUAACUCCGUGCCAGCAGCCGCGGUAAUACGGAGGAUCCGAGCGUUAUCCGGAUUUAUUGGGUGUAAGGGGAGCGUAGGUGGAUUGUUAAGUCAGUUGUGAAAGUUUGCGGCUCAACCGUAAAAUUGCAGUUGAAACUGGCAGUCUUGAGUACAGUAGAGGUGGGCGGAAUUCGUGGUGUAGCGGUGAAAUGCUUAGAUAUCACGAAGAACUCCGAUUGCGAAGGCAGCUCACUGGACUGCAACUGACACUGAGGCUCGAAAGUGUGGGUAUCAAACAGGAUUAGAUACCCUUGUAGUC
rnacentral:rRNA from 1 species